rnacentral:hammerhead_ribozyme from 1 species
AUCCAGCUGACGCGUCUCAAAUAGGACGAAACACGCAUCCUGGAU